AACGGCAUUGAGUGCUUGCACUCUUUGGACGUCGACCGGCGCACGGGUGAGUAACGCGUAUCCAACCUUCCCAUUACUGUGGGAUAACCUGCCGAAAGGCAGACUAAUACCGCAUAGUCUUCGAUGACGGCAUCAGAUUUGAAGUAAAGAUUUAUCGGUAAUGGAUGGGGAUGCGUCUGAUUAGCUUGUUGGCGGGGUAACGGCCCACCAAGGCUACGAUCAGUAGGGGUUCUGAGAGGAAGGUCCCCCACAUUGGAACUGAGACACGGUCCAAACUCCUACGGGAGGCAGCAGUGAGGAAUAUUGGUCAAUGGACGGAAGUCUGAACCAGCCAAGUAGCGUGCAGGAUGACGGCCCUAUGGGUUGUAAACUGCUUUUGUAUGGGGAUAAAGUUAGGGACGUGUCCCUAUUUGCAGGUACCAUACGAAUAAGGACCGGCUAAUUCCGUGCCAGCAGCCGCGGUAAUACGGAAGGUCCAGGCGUUAUCCGGAUUUAUUGGGUUUAAAGGGAGCGUAGGCUGGAGAUUAAGUGUGUUGUGAAAUGUAGACGCUCAACGUCUGAAUUGCAGCGCAUACUGGUUUCCUUGAGUACGCACAACGUUGGCGGAAUUCGUCGUGUAGCGGUGAAAUGCUUAGAUAUGACGAAGAACUCCGAUUGCGAAGGCAGCUGACGGGAGCGCAACUGACGCUUAAGCUCGAAGGUGCGGGUAUCAAACAGGAUUAGAUACCCUGGUAGUCCGCACAGUAAACGAUGGAUGCCCGCUGUUGGUACCUGGUAUCAGCGGCUA
rnacentral:rRNA from 1 species